CGCUGACCUUAUCAUAUGCUUCGCUCUAUUUCUAUGUAGAACUGACGUAUUUCGCUUUAGUCUAAAAAUGUAGCUCAAACGAACAAUAAUAACUAUUAGUUAUACUGUUGCUUCCUGUGUCGCUUCUCUUGUAGGUAAUUUCGCUGACUAUACUCGGUAUAGUGGCUAACAUUUUGUGUGAUUUUGAUGGUACUUCAGCAAUUGCAUAAAAAUGUUAAGAUUGACAAAAUGUUGGUCCUCUGUUACUUACGAGUUAUUUAAU